ACCCCCCCACACCCACCCACUACACUGAAGCAACACUACGUAGUACCAACAAGUUCGUUAAGGCAGCGUGCGGCGGACUAGGCUAAGGUGCUCCACAGGGACACUCAUUUACGAACACUCACACAGUAAACUCCCGGGGAAGAAACAGAUAACGAUAGAUAGAUGCAGUAGGGGAGUAUCAGGACACAUUAUAGUUGUUAAAAAUACUAGUUUUGGAUUGUACGUACUGAUGGUAGCCUACGUGUUAGUUAUAUAGAGCGAUUAUGCUGUGUGUGUGUGUGUGUGUGUGAAUCAGAAUAAUAGUAAAUAGUGACUCGGUUUUAAGCGUAUCUCGGAAAUAGAAAAAAACAAUAAGUCUUUGGUCCAUAGACAUUUAGGAAAUAAGUGACUCAGUUUUGUGACUAGAACAAUAAUAAUGAUAAUGAUAAUAAUAAUAAUAAUAAUAAUAAUAAUAAUAAUAAUAAUAAUAAUAAUAAUAGUCAUGAUAAUAGUAGUUUUCUUCUUUCGUUAUAAAAAAUAUGGGUUGGGCGAACGGUUGUAUAUGGAUAAAUGUAUAAUAUAUGGUUCUUAACAACUAAUACUAUGCUGUUAACGCUAUUAAGGAUGUACUGAUAUUCGCGUUACGUAUUGUUUUAUCAUUACUCUCUGUCUCUGUCUGUUUUCUCCGGGGCCUUACUCUUCCUUCGUUAGUUAGCCUUCCUUCCACUUCUUUCUUCAGCACUUCUCUGCAUUUCUCUUCUUCAACAUUUCUCUUCAUUCUUCUUCAUAUACUCUUCAUUCCUCUUCUUCAGCAUUUCCCUUCAUUCCUCUCCUUCAUUACUUUAUUCAGCACCUCUCUUCAUUCUUCAUCACUUCUCUUCAUUACUCUUCUUCAGCACUUUUCUUCAUUACUCUUCUUCGUUACUCUUCAUUACUCUUCUUCAGCACUUCUCUUCAUUACUCUUCUUCGUUACUCUUCAUUCUUCUUCAGCACUUCUCUUCAUUACUCCUCUUCGUUACUCUUCAUUCUUCUUCAGCACUUCUCUUCAUUACUCCUCUUCGUUACUCUUCAUUUUUCUUCAGCACUUCUCUUCAUUAUUCCUCUUCGUUACUCUUCAUUCUUCUUCAGCACUUCUCUUCAUUAUUCCUCUUCGUUACUCUUCAUUCUUCUUCAGCACUUCUCUUCAUUAUUCCUCUUCGUUACUCUUCAUUUUUCUUCAGCGCUUCUCUUCAUUAUUCCUCUUCGUUACUCUUCAUUUUUCUUCAGCACUUCUCUUCAAUAUUCUUCUUAAAGUCUUUCUUCCCCCUUCUACCGGUCUGGCGUGGGUAUGUAUUUCAGCUUCUUGUUCGCCGCCUUCUCCCGGACCUUACUCUUCCCUUCCCUCCACUCCCUUCUUCAGUACCUCUUUCAGUCUCUUCAUUACUCUUCUUAUAUGUCUUCUUCCCCCUUCUACAGGUCUGGCGUGGGUAUGUAUUUCAGCUUCUUGUUCGCCGCCUUUUCCAGGACCUUACUCUUCCCUUCCCUCCACUCCCUUCUUCAGUACCUCUUUCAGUCUCUUCAUUACUCUUCUUAUAUGUCUUCUUCCCCCUUCUACAGGUCUGGCGUGGGUAUGUAUUUCAGCUUCUUGUUUGCCGCCUUCUCCCGGAACUUACGCUUCCUUCAUUACUCUACCCUUCACUCCCUUCUUCACUACUUCUUUCACUUUCCGUUACUCUUACUACAAACCUCUUCUCUCUCUAUUUCAGGUUUAAUGAAGGGAUGUAGUUUAGUCUUUAGAACUGGGCCUUACUUUCUUUAUGUUUGCUUUCCCUUAACUCCCUUCUUCAACUCUCCAUUCAGUCUCUCCAUUUAUACCACUCGUACGUCUUCUUCCGACAGGUUUAAUGAUGGGAUGCAGUAUAAUCUUUAGAACUGGGCCUUACUUUCUUUGUUUCCUUUCCCUUAAUUCCCUUCUUCAACUCUUCUUUCAGUCUCUCCAUUUAUACCACUCGUACGUCUCCUUCCGACAGGUUUGGUGAAGGGAUGCAGUUUAGUUUUAAGUACGGGGCCUUACUCUCCUUGUUUCCCUUCCCUUCAUUCUUCCCUCCCUUCUUUGGUCCCUCUUUCAGUCUCUUCAUUAGUCUCUUCUUUAGUCUCUGGAACGGGGCCUUACUCUCCCUACGUUACUCUUCCCUCCAUUCCCUUCUUCAGUCCUUCUUUCAGUCUCUCCAUUAGGCCUUUGUUAUAAUCUUCUCCCCGAUACUGGUUGGUUGAGGGGAUGCAGUUUAGUCUUGAGAGCGGGGCCUUGUUGGUGUGUGUGUCUCGUCGCGUGCCCUGGUGUCCGCGUCUUGUGUAUCUUCAUUGUUAACUCUUCUUGUUACUCGUUUAUCUCUGACUGUCCGUCCAUGUCCUCUUGUUGUCCACUUCUACACAUUGUUCCACACACACACCAACAGCCUUACUCUCCUUGUUUCCCUCCACUCCCUUCUUCAGUACUUCCUUCAGUCUCUCCAUCACCCUUCUCAUAACCCUCUUCUCCUCCCUUCUACAGGUCUGAUGAUGGCAUUUAGUUUAGUCUAUGGAACGGGGCCUUAUUCUCCCUAUGUUUCCCUUUCCUCCACUCCCUUCUUCACUCUUCUUUCAGUCUCUCCAUCACC